rnacentral:tRNA from 1 species
AUUUAUAUAGUUUAUAAAAACGUUACAUUUUCAAUGUAGAAAUAAAAGAAUUCUUUUUAUAAA